rnacentral:rRNA from 1 species
AUUGAACGCUGGCGGCAGGCCUAACACAUGCAAGUCGAGCGGUAACAUUUCUAGCUUGCUAGAAGAUGACGAGCGGCGGACGGGUGAGUAACGCGUAGAAAUCUACCUAGUAGUGGGGGAUAGCCCAGAGAAAUUUGGAUUAAUACCGCAUACGCCCUACGGGGGAAAGCGGGGGAUCUUCGGACCUCGUGCUAUUAGAUGAGUCUGCGUCGGAUUAGCUUGUUGGUGAGGUAAUGGCUCACCAAGGCGACGAUCCGUAGCUGGUCUGAGAGGAUGACCAGCCACACUGGAACUGAGACACGGUCCAGACUCCUACGGGAGGCAGCAGUGGGGAAUAUUGCACAAUGGGCGCAAGCCUGAUGCAGCCAUGCCGCGUGGGUGAAGAAGGCCCUAGGGUUGUAAAUCCCUUUCAGCGAGGAAGAUAAUGACGGUACCCGCAGAAGAAGCCCCGGCUAACUCCGUG